rnacentral:piRNA from 2 species
AUGCGGAUAUGGGACUGAGACCA